rnacentral:rRNA from 1 species
AACGAACGCCGGCGGCAGGCCUAACACAUGCAAGUCGAACGCAUCCUUCGGGGUGAGUGGCAGACGGGUGAGUAACGCGUGGGAACGUGCCCUUCAGUUCGGGAUAACCCAGGGAAACUUGGGCUAAUACCGGAUACGUGCGAGAGCAGAAAGAUUUAUCGCUGAAGGAUCGGCCCGCGUCUGAUUAGCUAGUUGGUGGGGUAAUGGCCCACCAAGGCGACGGUCAGUAGCUGGUCUGAGAGGAUGAUCAGCCACAUUGGGACUGAGACACGGCCCAAACUCCUACGGGAGGCAGCAGUGGGGAAUAUUGGACAAUGGGCGCAAGCCUGAUCCAGCCAUGCCGCGUGAGUGAUGAAGGCCUUAGGGUUGUAAAGCUCUUUCGUCCGGGACGAUAAUGACGGUACCGGAAGAAGAAGCCCCGGCUAACUUCGUGCCAGCAGCCGCCGCCG